AUGGGCCUAAUGUGUUUUGAGGCUCAAUACGAAAUGAAAGGGAAGAGGGAUCAUUCAGUAAAUCUAAUUUCACAUUUUUCAUGAUUUUUUUGUUCAUCUCUCUCGGUGUAAUCUUCUUCUCCUUUUUCGAAUUCUUAGUUCGUAGGAGAAAUCGAUUAUUGUUGAUGUUGUUGCUCUGUGUUGUUGUUGUUACAUACGCAUGAGAGGAUAAUGAUGAAGUAGAGGGGAAAAAUACAGAGAGAGAGAGAGAGCUUCAGAGAGAAAUCUCAUAGUGCUUCAAGGAGAUUGAGAGUGAUUCAGAAUAUGAUUGUUGAUGAUGAAAUGAAGGUGAGUGAAGGUUAUGUAGAGGAGAUUGUUAACUGAUUCGGGAAAGCUAUGGGGCAGGUUGUUACAAGUUAUGGCACAGUUAGAUUCAAAUGAAGAUCAAUGAAGAAAGUUGUUUUGAGUUAACAUUGUGAAACUGUUUCUGUUAAAAGCUGGUGGGAUCAUGGAAUGGAAUAAUGUUUUGGCAUGACAUUUUGGUCAUGAAGGCAUGAAUCAAGAUUGGCAUGGAACAUGGAGAGGUCAUGGCCCAAAAAGACAACAUCAAGAAUUAUGAAGGUUUUAAACAAACAUGGGAAGGAUUAUGAAUGAAGGAAAAAGUAGAAUUAGGGUUUAAGAUAGUUAGUUGACUUUGGUCAACUGUUUGACAAAAAAAGUCAAUAGUUGACCAAAAUUCAACAGUAGGCCAAAAUGAUGUACUUUUGUAUGGACUUGUAAUGUGAAAUGCAUGUUUUGAUAAUGAAAAUGACCUUUGAAUGGGUUAUAUAACUUGUGUUUAAAGAAAGGUAGCUUCCCUCCAAAAGUUUGAGUUUGAAUUUGAUCUUGUACUUGCAUAUGA